UUUUAGUGUCUCCCCUUUCACGAGGGAAGCAGCUCAGGGCUGAGGAGGGCAGACAUGCUCAGAAGUGACCUGAGAAGGGGAUUUUUGUUUUUCUAAACACUAGAAGAAAGGCAUGAGAUUGGAGUAGGGUGCAGGAGUGGGAGGUGUGCAGUAUUUUUCUGGAAAGCCACUCAGGAGCCCGGGGAGGCUGACCUAGAAGGGUAAGAGUCCAUGGAUGGUUACACCCUCCCCUGGGAGCCAGAGACGUGGCAGAAGAAAACCAAGCACUUUGUCCUUGGACUCCUUCAAGCUUGGAGGGGAGACUGGUUGCUGGGAUUAGGACAUUCCUGGUGUUCCAAAGAUUGCAAACUCAGAUGCUUCAGGGUUGUGCAGGUAAAGUAAAUGAGGAAGUCGGGCUGCAUGUGGACAACAGGAAUAGUCAGAAAGCGAGCUGGGGAUGUUAUUUCAACAAAAUCAAAACCAAAUAACUCUCUGUGCCAGCCAAUUGGAUGCUUCACCCUGGGAAGAACUUGGCCUGCAGGCUCAGAUUUGUGACCAGUGAGGAUGCAGAGACUGUCACCUCCUCAGGGGCGAUCUGCUAAUUCUAGAAUGGCGCUGUCCCACGGAAAUAUAUCACAAGCCAAGAAUGCAAUUUAAAAUUUUCUAUUAGCCAUAUUAAAAACAGUAAAAAGAAACAGUUGAAAUUAAUUUUAAUAUGAUAUUUAACUCAAUAUAUCCAAAAGAUU
rnacentral:lncRNA from 10 species